rnacentral:rRNA from 1 species
CCCUUAGAUGUUCUGGCCGCACGCGCGCUACACUGAUGCAUUCAACGAGUUUCUUCCUGGUCCGAGAGGAAUGGGUAACCUUUUGAAAGUGCAUCGUGAUAGGGAUAGACUAUUGCAAUUAUUGGUCUUCAACGAGGAAUUCCUAGUAGACGUAGUUCAUCAGACUGCAUCGAUUACGUCCCUGCCCUUUGUACACACCGCCCGUCGCUCCUACCGAUUGAAUGCUCAGGUGAGCCAUUCGGACUUUCAUCAUGCUGGUUUCCAGUUUUGAUGAAGGAAAGUCUUGCGAACCUUAUCAUUUAGAGGAAGGAGAAGUCGUAACA